rnacentral:lncRNA from 1 species
UGGGUGUGAUGUGUUCAUUAUCUCCUAUCUUAUCUAAUAAGAUAUGUUUGUUAUCUCCUAUUUUAUCUAGCGAGAUAUGUUUGUUAUUUUUUUCUUAUUUGCUCAUGAUGGGUUGUCACAUGGAUUCUGAAUAUUUUUUUAGCUGGUGUUAAUCGUACAAUUAUAUCAGACAUAAAAGCUUUCUGAAAUGUCAGCUCAGAUCGAUCUCAAAGAUAUCUCG